GCCGGGCGUGGUGGCACAUGCCUGUAAUCCCAGCUACUCGGGAGGCUGAGGCAGGAGAAUCGCUUGAACCCAGGAGGCAGAGGUUGCAGUGAGCCAAGAUCGCGCCACUGCACUCCAGCCUGGGUGACAGAGUGAGACUCUGUCUCAA
rnacentral:SRP_RNA from 1 species